rnacentral:rRNA from 1 species
CCUACGGGAGGCAGCAGUGGGGAAUAUUGGACAAUGGGCGAAAGCCUGAUCCAGCCAUGCCGCGUGUGUGAAGAAGGUCUUCGGAUUGUAAAGCACUUUAAGUUGGGAGGAAGGGCAGUAAAUUAAUACUUUGCUGUUUUGACGUUACCGACAGAAUAAGCACCGGCUAACUCUGUGCCAGCAGCCGCGGUAAUACAGAGGGUGCAAGCGUUAAUCGGAAUUACUGGGCGUAAAGCGCGCGUAGGUGGUUUGUUAAGUUGGAUGUGAAAUCCCCGGGCUCAACCUGGGAACUGCAUUCAAAACUGACAAGCUAGAGUAUGGUAGAGGGUGGUGGAAUUUCCUGUGUAGCGGUGAAAUGCGUAGAUAUAGGAAGGAACACCAGUGGCGAAGGCGACCACCUGGACUGAUACUGACACUGAGGUGCGAAAAGCGUGGGGAGCAAACAGGAUUAGAUACCCUGGUAGUCCACGCCGUAAAACGAUGUCAACUAGCCGUUGGGAGCCUUGAGCUCUUAGUGGCGCAGCUAACGCAUUAAAGUUGACCGCCUGGGGAGUAACGGCCGCAAAGGUUAAAACUCAAAAGAAGUAAGUUAGNGNGNGAGAGCGACGACGACGACGACGGAGGAGGAG